rnacentral:rRNA from 1 species
UACGGAGGGUGCAAGCGUUAUCCGGAUUCACUGGGUUUAAAGGGUGCGUAGGUGGAUUGGUAAGUCAGUGGUGAAAUCUCCGGGCUUAACUCGGAAACUGCCAUUGAUACUAUCAGUCUUGAAUGUUGUGGAGGUGAGCGGAAUAUGUCAUGUAGCGGUGAAAUGCCUAGAUAUGACAUAGAACACCAAUUGCGAAGGCAGCUCACUACACAAUUAUUGACUCUGAGGCACGAAAGCGUGGGGAUCAAACAGG